AUGUCACAUGGUUGGGUGUGUGGGAGCUUUCCUUGGAUUCAUGACCCCAAAUAUUCUGGGGGAUGCAGAAUUCCCAAAGAGAGCUUGCAAGCACAGCUGGUGAGAGAUCUGGUUCAGAUAAAAGAUGUUAUUUCGAAUUGCAGGUGCAUGUCUUUGAAAGGGAACAGCAGCAGGAGCACCAGAAAUCCAUUCUAUUUGAUCAGGGCAUUAAAACAUUUACAGGUAGAGCUGUGUACACCCACCUUCAGAUCUACAGCUCCUGUGCCAGGAGAGAUGUGUGCAGUGGAUGUGCAUGUGUGUCCCAAAUGUUUAGAGCACACUGGAAUUGAGGGGCUGGGACAAUUGAUUUAUUUCCUUAUUUCUUUCUUUUCUUACUUUCUUUUUUUUUCAUCUUUUUCUCUUUCCCCUUUCCUUUCCCUUUCCUUUCCCUUCCCUUUCCCUUUCCUUUCCUUUCCCUUUCCUUUCCUUUCCCUUUCCUUUCCCUUUCCUUUCCUUUCCCUUUCCUUUCCUCUUCCCCCUCCUCUUCCCCUUACACUUCCUUUCCUUUCCUUCCCUUUUCCCUCUCCUCUUCCCUUUCCUUUCCUUCCCUUUUCCCUCUCCUCUUCCCUUUCCUUUCCUUCCCCUUUUCCUUUCCUUCCCCUUUUCCUUUCCUUCCCCUUUUCCUUUCCUUCCCCUUUUCCUUUCCUUUUCCCUUCCUUUUCCAUUUCCUUUUCCCCUUCCUUUUCCCCUUCUUUCCUUUCCUUUUCCCUUUCUUUCCUUUCUUUUCCCUUUUUCUUCCCUCUUUCCUUUCCCAUUUCCUUUCCCUUCCCCAUCCCUUCCCCGACGUCUCUCCCAACACGAAUCCCGCUGCCCUCAGGCCGUCCCAGCUCAGUCCCUGCCCGGCAGUGCCCCGCAGUGCCGAUCCCCGCAGCAGACCCGGCGCAGCCCGGACCGCGUCCUCCCGCUCCCGGUCCCGGCAGAGGGCGCCGCGUGCGCAGCGGGGCGGAGGGGUCGGGACCGGGGUCGGGGUCGGGGUCGGGGUCUGUCCGUGCGGGGCGCGCAGCGGCCGCCGAGCCGUUUCAGCACGGAAAGUUGGCGGAGCGGCGGCCGGAGCGGCGUCAGGCCCGCGGCUCGGCGGCUCGGCCCGGAGCUGCU
rnacentral:lncRNA from 1 species